rnacentral:tRNA from 1 species
GGGUUGCUAACUCAACGGUAGAGUACUUCUACUCCAUCCGACUAGUUCCGGGUUCGAGUCCCGGGCAACCCAC